rnacentral:tRNA from 1 species
UAAGGUGUAGUGUAUGUGCACAAGAGUUUUUGGUACUUUUAGAGAGCAUUAUUUUGCUCUGCCUUAG